UACGUAGGUGGCAAGCGUUGUCCGGAUUUACUGGGCGUAAAGCGUAUGCAGGCGGAUCUUUAAGUAGAAAGUGAAAGGCUGGGGCUUAACUCCAACACUGCUCUCUAUACUGGAGGUCUUGAGUGCCGGAGAGGAAGAUGGAACUGCACGUGUAGCGGUGAAAUGCGUUGAGAUGUGCAGGAACACCAAUGGCGAAAGCAAUCUUCUGGACGGAUACUGACGCUGAGAUACGAAAGCCAAGGGAGCGAACAGG
rnacentral:rRNA from 1 species